rnacentral:SRP_RNA from 1 species
GCCGAGUUGCGUAACGUCAACUUGUGACUCAAAUGAGGGCAUCAUGGUGGUAGGAUAAAACUGUCGUUUCCUUGGGUUGGCCUUUGAUAGCAAGAUGCUGGCCUGCCCGCUCCAAGUUGAGAGCUGGCCCAUGGGACCUAAGCGAAGGCAUAGGUCUUUCGGAUCCUAGAGUGGAGGGAUAACAGGCUGCUACAGUCACUGUCCUGUUUGCCCAAUGAGCCUAGUUUCUUAGAUUGUG